AAAGCGCAGGCAAUAAUAGCUUGUCGGGUGCCACAACCUUCCGCCGUCUGUCGGCGUCCAAGUUGUGGAACCACAUCCGGCAAGACGCCUGCUUU
rnacentral:ncRNA from 12 species